rnacentral:misc_RNA from 1 species
AAGUCGUAACAAGGUAACCGUAGGUGAACCUGCGGUUGGAUCAUUAACAAGUAAUUUAGGCCCCUGGCUGCCUCAAAAGGGCGAAGGGGGAAAACCUAAACAUUUGUGUGCACCAUAUCUGUCCUUGGCAGUUCGAGUGUCCUGGGUCGCGUAACUGCCUCAGGUACCUACCGAGGCUUUCCUCUCGGGGUUUGCCAAAGUUGGGCUGCCGCUUCUAGAACAAACCUUUUGUAAAUUAUUUUUGCCUGAAUUUGUUUGAUCUUUAUGAUUGAAUUUAAAUACAACUUUUGACAACGGAUCUCUUGGCUCUC